UCUCUCCACUUUCCCUACCUCACGCUUUACUCUUCACUUUCCCUCACCCACGUUCAACGCGGCUCUCUUAAACGAAUUGGAAAGGAACCCAACCCCGACAUGCACGAGCUAAAGCUCCGGUGAACCAUUCCCAACGGCGAGAACUAUUCUUUCGAAGAGAACAAAUGGAGUCAACAAGACUCUACUUGCGUUCGAAUAACCUAGGAAUGACGAUGGUGAUGAUAACUGGCUCGGCGGUGCUGAAGCAUUCGGUUGGAGCGUACACUGUUGCGGCUGGAUGGUUGCGGGCGGCAGCAUCUUGUUUCAAUUGUUGGAGGUUGUUAUUUAGGGUUUUGAAACCCUAAUUAUAUUGGGCUAUAUUUGGGUCUUGAUCCAGUUUGUUGCAUUGUAACUUGUAAUCUGGACUGAAUUGUAACUAGAACUG